GCCAGGGUGCUGAGAUUAUACAGACCGCUGUAUGGAGAAAAGAACAGACAGGGACUGCUGAUGUGGAAAAAGACACUCGGCGACUCAAGAGACAUCAGAAUGUCUCUGUGUUAUUUUCACAACUUCAUUUAAGCAACACAUGCUUAAUGCCAGCUACCUCCUUCCUGAACCGACAUGCCAAUAAUGGGCUGCGACAUCAGUCAGCAUUUCACCACGAGACACUUUCUCAACAUCUGGCAUAUGAUUUACCACGUCGUGCACUUCCUGUUCUCUAUGCUGUUUAAAGUGACAAAGCAAGAAUUAUUUCUGAUCUGAAGUGUUAACCUGGUGUA